rnacentral:rRNA from 1 species
UGCUAUUAGUACUUAUUAAUAGUAAGAUCUGCUCAAUGAAAUUUAAAUAGCCGCGUUAUUACGUGCUAAGGUAGCAUAAUCAUUCGUUCUUUAAUUGAGAACUAGAACAAAAGAUUAAAUAUUUUAAAAAAUAUUUAUAUUUAAUUAUAAAAAUUAUUUUAAAUGUAAAAAAACAUUUAUUCAAAAGAAAGACGACAAGACCCUAUUGAACUUAACUAAAGUUAAACUGGGGCAGUUAAUUAAUUAAAAUUUUAAUUAAUAUUAAUUAAUAAAAAGACCUAAUACAAUUAAUUAAAUAAUAAAGUUACCAUAGGGAUAACAGCAUAAUAUUUAUCUAAAGAUCUUAUAAUAAUAAAAGAUUGUGACCUCGAUGUUGAAUAAUUACCUAAAUUAAGCAAUAUUAAAUAAAGGAAGUCUGUUCGACUUUUAAAAAAUUACA